rnacentral:rRNA from 1 species
AUACGUAUGGGGCGAGCGUUAUCCGGAAUUAUUGGGCGUAAAGAGUACGUAGGUGGUUUUUUAAGCGGGAGGUUUAAGGCUACGGCUUAACCGUAGUUCGCCUCUCGAACUGGAAGACUUGAGUGCAGGAGAGGAAAGCGGAAUUCCUAGUGUAGCGGUGAAAUGCGUAGAUAUUAGGAGGAACACCGGUGGCGAAGGCGGCUUUCUGGACUGUAACUGACACUGAGGUACGAAAGCGUGGGGAGCAAACAGGAUUAGAUACCCUGGUAGUCCACGCCGUAAACGAUGAGCACUAGGUGUCGGGUCAAAAGGCUCGGUGCCGAAGUUAACGCAUUAAGUGCUCCGCCUGGGGAGUACGUACGCAAGUAUGAAACUCAAAUGAAUUGACGGGG